GUGCUUGUUUUGGCAGCACAUAUACUAAAAUUGGUAUGAUACAGAGAAGAUUAGCAUGGCCCCUGAUCAAGGAUGCCACGCAAAUUCGGGAAACAUUCCCUAUGUUC
rnacentral:snRNA from 1 species